rnacentral:rRNA from 1 species
GAUGAACGCUGGCGGCGUGCCUAAUACAUGCAAGUCGAGCGAACAGACGAGGAGCUUGCUCCUCUAACGUUAGCGGCGGACGGGUGAGUAACACGUGGAUAACCUACCUAUAAGACUGGGAUAACUUCGGGAAACCGGAGCUAAUACCGGAUAAUAUAUUGAACCGCAUGGUUCAAUAGUGAAAGACGGUUUUGCUGUCACUUAUAGAUGGAUCCGCGCCGCAUUAGCUAGUUGGUAAGGUAACAGCUUACCAAGGCAACGAUGCGUAGCCGACCUGAGAGGGUGAUCGGCCACACUGGAACUGAGACACGGUCCAGACUCCUACGGGAGGCAGCAGUAGGGAAUCUUCCGCAAUGGGCGAAAGCCUGACGGAGCAACGCCGCGUGAGUGAUGAAGGUCUUCGGAUCGUAAAACUCUGUUAUUAGGGAAGAACAAAUGUGUAAGUAACUAUGCACGUCUUGACGGUACCUAAUCAGAAAGCAACGGCUAACUACGUG